ensembl:piRNA 21ur-2243 ncRNA
UCAAAAGAAAGCUUGACGGCA